AUGGAUGCAACUGCAGCUGGCAAGAAGAUGGGCAUAGGAGGAGAGAAAAAGCAGCAGAGGAAACCAGGUUCUUCCUUCUGGGGAGCCAUGGCGUUGAAGAGCAGAAGCCAGCCAGGAGGAGCAGGAGAAAGCAAGAACAUCAAGAGCGAGAGGAAGACGACGACGACCACAACGAAAAGGAGUGUCAGCAUUGGUAGGAGCAUGACUUGCCCAGGGUCAAUCUGCGGCACCAAGGAGAGCGCUGUGCUGAGCAGGGAAAGCUGCCGGAAUAGCCAUAGCGGCCGCAAUGUCUCCAGCAGCAGUAGGUCUCUCAAGGCUCCGGACAAUGACAUCUUGUCCGUGCCCGUGGUGGCUUCCGGCGCGGUCGUGUCAGCGUCGUCGUCGUUCAACUCGGAGACCUCGGUGGCUACGACGGCGACCACUGUCAGCUCCUCCUCCUCGUCGUCGUCGGCUCUCUCGUCGCCGCUUUCGUCCAUCGUUGCCGGUUCCAGGUCUUUCAGGAAGCUCUCCGGCUGCUACUACGAGUGCCACUCGGCGCUCGACCCCAGGACAAGCCUCGUCGGCGGCGCCGGCAUGCUCCCCUGCUCCGACUGCGACGAGUUCUUCGUCAAAGCCGAGUCCCUCGAGCUUCACCGAGCAACCCGCCAUGCAGUUUCGGAGCUCGGCGCCGAGGACACGAGCAGGAACGUGGUGGAGAUCAUCUUCCAGUCGAGCUGGCUCGUCGGGAAGCCGCGGGCGGCGCCGAUUUGCAGGAUCGAGAGGAUUCUGAAGGUGUACAGCUCCGGCAGGACCGUGGAGAGGUUCGAGCAGUACAGGGAGCGCGUCAAGGCGAUUGCGGCGAGCAGCACCGAUGAGCUGGCCAGGAGGAGCUUCCCGCGGUGCGCCGCCGACGGCAACGAGAUCCUCCGGUUCCACUGCACCACCUUCACGUGCUCCCUCGGCCUCGCCGGCGCCACCUCCCUCUGCCGGUCGUCCCCGCAGCAGUGCAAACUGUGCAGCAUUAUCAGAGACGGCUUCAGGGUCGACGGCGAUGGGAAAAUUGCGACGAUGGCGACGAGCGGGCGGGCUCACGACAAGGCGCAAACGCCUCUGCCGGGCGGCGGCGGCGGCGAGAAGAGGGCGAUGCUGGUGUGCAGGGUGGUGGCAGGGAGAGUGAAGAAGCUCGUCAACAGCAGCAAUUCUUCGGAGGAGUCUGGCUGUGACAGCGUCAGUUCCUGCUCAGAUUUGGAUGAACUCUCUGUGUUCAACCCAUUGGCUAUACUGCCUUGCUUUGUAGUGAUGUAUGCAGUGGCUACUGAGACAUAA
rnacentral:rRNA from 1 species